AUCAUGGCUCAGGAUGAACGCUAGCGGCAGGCUUAACACAUGCAAGUCGAGGGGCAACGCGAGUAGCAAUACUUGGCGGCGACCGGCGCAAGGGUGCGUAACGCGUGAGCAACAUGCCCGUAUCAGGGGGGAUAAUCCAGGGAAACUUGGUCUAAUACCCCAUAGUAAUUUUGUAAGGCAUCUUAUAAGAUUUAAAGCUUUGGUGGAUACGGAUUGGCUCGCGUGACAUUAGCUGGAUGGUAAGGUAACGGCUUACCAUGGCUAUGAUGUCUAGGGGUUCUGAGAGGAAGGUCCCCCCACACUGGAACUGAGACACGGUCCAGACUCCUACGGGAGGCAGCAGUGAGGAAUAUUGGACAAUGGAUGGAAAUCUGAUCCAGCCAUGCCGCGUGAAGGAAAGAAGGUCCUAUGGAUUGUAGACUUCUUUUGUAUGGGAGCAAUAAGGCCUACGAGUAGGUUGAUGAGAGUACCAUACGAAUAAGCACCGGCUAACUCCGUGCCAGCCGCUGC
rnacentral:rRNA from 1 species